AACGUCCUUAUCGGGGUUUGAGGUCAGUCCAAUGAGCGCCAUAGCGAGGGCUGUCUUGCUAACACCCUGCAUAUAACAUAUUCCGUCACUGGUUCUCCGCAAUCAGUGCAAUUUUUGGAGCC